GUUAGAUUACCUCGACCCAUAUUUACUCAGGCUUGUGCAAUACUCAGAAAAUUUAGUGUACUGUAUGACAAUCAUGAAACCACACCGAACCAGGACCAUGGUCCAAAAUGUCACUAUCAUCUAUAAUCAAUUGAACACCGACACUAAAAAGGAUAGUGGUUCUAAAAUUCUAAAGAAAAUUUAGAUCCUCUACCAAAUCUGUCAAGACUCCCUGAAAAUAAACCUCCUCAAAGAAGAAGAUGAGGAGAGAAAUACACAGUUACAAGCCAAAGCUUGAUGACACAGCCAACAUUAGAUGCUUGCUCAAGGUUUCCAACAGAUUUUCCCCAGGAAGAGGAGCUCCCAGAACAAACUCAACAAGCUCAAGCAACGACGGCAGGUCCCUAUUACAGCAAGAGGAAAAAAAGAGGAAUUGGACAAUGAGAAGCAGCAAACAAUGUUGUGACACAGUAAGCUUGCAAAUAAACCACACUAUUAGAAAUAAUAUACCGCAAAGAAUGAGAAAAUGUGCAUGUAGAUUCGCUAAAGAAAGACUUUUCAAAAGCACAUUUACUCGUGGAGCUAUGCAAAAAAGAAAUUACCUUCCGAAAUGCCACUUAUGUUGCCAAAAGCUAAAAAAAGCAGCGAGCAACGGCACUAUUGUUAUCACAGCAUCAUAUAUUCUGCAAAUAUCUCAAAACAUAUACGUCCUAGAGUGAAUAGAAAAAAAAACUAUGACUGAAUGGACCAAUUGUUCCAGCACUCGACUCUAUAUCCCUUGCUGGGUGUUUGUGAUCUCUUAAUUGGGAGUUUAUCUAAAUGAUUGAAUUCUAAUCAGGGAUCAGGACUGGCUCUACUAUCUGCAGGCAAGAAUAUGAUGUUGGCUUGCUAAUGUUCAGGGGAAGAGAGUAGCACCUAACGCUAGAAUUAUGAUCGGUUAGCUCCCAAACUUGAGAAUCAUGUGUGCACUGGCAGCAACAAGAGGAUGUUUCAAAGGUAUGUUUACUGGGCAUGCCUAUUGACCAUAAUGCAAAUAAAGUUCUGCUUUGUCGCAGUUUGGACUACACAAUAAGUGCAGAAUGCAGCUCUUUAGUGUUUCUACAUGUCUUUAAUGGCACUGAUUAUCUUUCUAGUCAUUAGUUUACCAAGUAAAAUUUAUUAUUGACUUACUUUGGCUGAUAUAUUUGACACAACUAUCUGGAACUUUUCUGUUGUUCUUGAGCCGGCAACAUGACCAGCCUCGGCGACUUUGCUGAAGGCACCAUUGAACCAGCUUGUUCCAGUAGACACAUAUCAACAAGUAGAGGAAAUAAGGGCGAAGGAUCAGCCAUACUGAUAAAGGACAUCAUAUGUUACUCCAAAGGUGCAAAUAUGUUACAAAGGUCUACAUUUCAUCAAGAUACAUUAAAACUUGAUCACCAGAUGAUAUAAAACACACACAUAUUGAGUAAUUCAACUGUAGCAAAAGCUUGUAAAAGAAGAGACCCGUUGGUUUUCACAGCAGAGCCUGUAUCAUUUAGCUUGCGCUCUACAGCUAGCAAAUCAGCCAUUGUUUUGUCAGAAACAUGGAACCUUUAGAUUCAGAUCGGAUAAGUAACAACGACAGUCAACCAAAUAACACUUGUAACUAAAUUAUGCGGACUAACCUGAAACUGCUUUUUAGAUGAGCUAACCUGAAACUUUUAAGCGGGCCUGAAACUAACCUGAAAGGCAAGAGAUAUGGGGUGGAGCUGGUGGCGUGGAGGUUGGGCCUGAUCCUGCCUUGGAGGGACAAGACGACCGGACGAGCUCUCCUCACUCCGCCGCAGUCGGCGUCGUGCUUCUGCGACUCCGCUCCACGAGCGCGGCGUGGUGUGGCCGAUGU
rnacentral:lncRNA from 1 species